UUUGACGGCCAUAGCGGCGGGGUCACACCUGGUCUCAUCCGAACCCAGAAGUUAAGCCCGCCCGCGUUCCUGGCUGUACUGUGGUGCGCGAGCCCAUGGGAACCCUGGAGCGCUGUCAGCC
rnacentral:rRNA from 1 species